AGUGAACGCUGGCGGUAGGCCUAACACAUGCAAGUCGAACGGCAGCACAGGAGAGCUUGCUCUCUGGGUGGCGAGUGGCGGACGGGUGAGGAAUACAUCGGAAUCUACUCUGUCGUGGGGGAUAACGUAGGGAAACUUACGCUAAUACCGCAUACGGCCUACGGGUGAAAGCAGGGGACCUUCGGGCCUUGCGCGAUUGAAUGAGCCGAUGUCGGAUUAGCUAGUUGGCGGGGUAAAGGCCCACCAAGGCGACGAUCCGUAGCUGGUCUGAGAGGAUGAUCAGCCACACUGGAACUGGGACACGGUCCAGACUCUUACGGGAGGCAGCAGUGGGGAAUAUUGGACAAUGGGCGCAAGCCUGAUCCAGCCAUACCGCGUGGGUGAAGAAGGCCUUCGGGUUGUAAAGCCCUUUUGUUGGGAAAGAAAUCCAGCUGGCUAAUACCCGGUUGGGAUGACGGUACCCAAAGAAUAAGCACCGGCUAACUUCGUGCCAGCCGCCGCCGUAA
rnacentral:rRNA from 1 species